GGGGAAUGUGACUCCUCUCCUCUCCAGCCUGGUGUCCCUGUCAGUGUAGGUGACAGUCAGGGGGAAUGUGACUCCUCUCCUCUCCAGCCUGGUGUCCCUGUCAGUGUAGGUGACAGUCAGGGGGAAUGUGACUCCUCUCCUCUCCAGCCAGGUGUCCCUGUCAGUGUAGGUGACAGUCAGGGGGAAUGUGACUCCUCUCCUCUCCAGCCUGGUGUCCCUGUCAGUGUAGGUGACAGUCAGGGGGAAUGUGACUCCUCUCCUCUCCAGCCUGGUGUCCCUGUCAGUGUAGGUGACAGUCAGGGGGAAUGUGACUCCUCUCCUCUCCAGCCAGGUGUCCCUGUCAGUGUAGGUGACAGUCAGGGGGAAUGUGACUCCUCUCCUCUCCAGCCUGGUGUCCCUGUCAGUGUAGGUGACAGUCAGGGGGAAUGUGACUCCUCUCCUCUCCAGCCUGGUGUCCCUGUCAGUGUAGGUGACAGUCAGGAGGAAUGUGACUCCUCUCCUCUCCAGCCUGGUGUCCCUGUCAGUGUAGGUGACAGUCAGGGGGAAUGUGACUCCUCUCCUCUCCAGCCUGGUGUCCCUGUCAGUGUAGGUGACAGUCAGGGGGAAUGUGACUCCUCUCCUCUCCAGCCAGGUGUCCCUGUCAGUGUAGGUGACAGUCAGGGGGAAUGUGACUCCUCUCCUCUCCAGCCUGGUGUCCCUGUCAGUGUAGGUGACAGUCAGGGGGAAUGUGACUCCUCUCCUCUCCAGCCUGGUGUCCCUGUCAGUGUAGGUGACAGUCAG